AAGGGGCAGUAAGGCAUGGGUACCUACCUUGGGGCCGAGCAUAGCCUGUAGAGAUACAGGGUAAUUCUCGAUAACGUCGUGAGACCAAAGGUCCGCCGCCUUUAGAGGGGCCCAUGUGAUAUUAGCUAGUUGGUGAGGUAACGGCUCACCAAGGCGAAGAUGUCUAGCGGGUGUGAGAGCACGACCCGCGCCACUGGCACUGAGACACUGGCCAGACACCUACGGGUGGCUGCAGUCGAGGAUCUUCGGCAAUGGGCGCAAGCCUGACCGAGCGAUGCCGCGUGUGCGACGAAGGCCUUCGGGUUGUAAAGCACUGUCGAGAGGGAGAAAAGCGAAAGCUUGAUCUAUCUCUGGAGGAAGGGCGGGCUAAGUUCGUGCCAGCAGCCGCGGUAAGACGAACCGCCCGAACGUUAUUCGGAAUCACUGGGCUUAAAGGGAGCGUAGGCGGGCUGCCAAGUCCGGGGUGAAAUCCUCCAGCUUAACUGGAGAACUGCCUCGGAUACUGGAAGUCUCGAGGAGGGUAGGGGCAAGUGGAACCGUGGGUGGAGCGGUGAAAUGCGUUGA
rnacentral:rRNA from 1 species